GACGAACGCUGGCGGCGUGCUUAACACAUGCAAGUCGAACGGAAAGGCCUGCUUUCCCUUGUGGAUUGCGGGUACUCGAGUGGCGAACGGGUGAGUAACACGUGAGUGAUCUGCCCCCAACUUGGGUAUAAGCCUGGGAAACUGGGUCUAAUUCCCGAUAGGACUGCAGGGUGGUGCCUGUGGUGGAAAACGAUUUUCUAGUGGUUGGGGAUGAGCUCGCGGCCUAUCAGCUUGUUGGUGGGGUAAUGGCCUACCAAGGCGGCGACGGGUAGCCGGCCUGAGAGGGUGGACGGCCACAUUGGGACUGGGAUACGGCCCAGACUCCUACGGGAGGCAGCAGUGGGGAGUAUUGCACAAUGGGCGGAAGCCUGAUGCAGCGACGCCGCGUGGGGGAUGACGGCCUUCGGGUUGUAAACUCCUUUCGACCGCGAGGAAGCCACCUGGUUGGAAGGGUGGUGACGGUAGUGGUAGAAGAAGCACCGGCUAACUACGUG
rnacentral:rRNA from 1 species